GUCUCUGUCCCCCCCUCUCUGGGUCUCUGUCCUCCUCUCCCUGGGUCUCUGUCCCCCUCUCUCUGUGGGUCUCUGUCCCACUCUCUCUGGGUCUCUGUCCCACUCUCUCUGGGUCUCUGUCCCCUCUCCCUGGGUCUCUGUCCCCCUCUCUCUGUGGGUCUCUGUCCCCCUCUCUCUCUGUCUAUCCCUGGGUCCCUGCUGCCCCACCUUCUGAUUCUCUGUCCCCUAAGUCUUUGUCUCCCCCUCUUUGGGUUAAAUUGUCCCCUCCCUGUCUGGCAUCCUCCUUUCUGAGUCUGUUCCCUCUCCGCCACUGGCCCCCAACUCCUUCUGUUCCCAUCUCGCGCUUGCCCUUGGAGUCUCCCCUGUGUGUCUCUCUCCCCCCGGCCCGGACCUCUGCACCCCCCAGGUCGCUGUCCCUCUGUCCCCUUAUCGCGGCCUGGGACCCGCCCUCUCCCCGCCUCCCGCUUUGGCGUCUCC
rnacentral:lncRNA from 1 species